AUUGAACGCUGGCGGCAUGCCUUACACAUGCAAGUCGAACGGUAACGCGGGGCAACCUGGCGACGAGUGGCGAACGGGUGAGUAAUGUAUCGGAACGUGCCCAGUAGUGGGGGAUAGCCCGGCGAAAGCCGGAUUAAUACCGCAUACGACCUAAGGGUGAAAGCGGGGGAUCGCAAGACCUCGCGCUAUUGGAGCGGCCGAUAUCAGAUUAGCUAGUUGGUGGGGUAAAGGCCUACCAAGGCGACGAUCUGUAGCUGGUCUGAGAGGACGACCAGCCACACUGGGACUGAGACACGGCCCAGACUCCUACGGGAGGCAGCAGUGGGGAAUUUUGGACAAUGGGCGAAAGCCUGAUCCAGCCAUGCCGCGUGCGGGAAGAAGGCCUUCGGGUUGUAAACCGCUUUUGUCAGGGAAGAAAAGGCUCGAACUAAUACUUUGGGCUCAUGACGGUACCUGAAGAAUAAGCACCGGCUAACUACGUGCCAGCCGCCGCCGUAACAC
rnacentral:rRNA from 1 species